AACUCACUUUCUCUUUUGCUUGUUGAUCUGUGGGAAGGACUAACAGCUGUAGCUAUAGGUUGCCUGUUAUCCACUACCACCUAUAGUUGAGAAACAGAAACCAGAUUUUAGGGAAGGAGGAGAUGUCAGAUUGCUUGGCACUUUACUGUUAAACAGAUACUUUGCAUCCUUGGGUAGCAAAUAAAACAACAGGACUCAGUAAAAGGAGGUUGUAAUGACGUACCAGGAUGCAGUGCAGUGGGACAAUUGUGUAAACUGCCACCACCCUAACCACUGCUUCCCAAAGGACCCCAUGGAUAAUCUCCUCUGAGUCCAAGUUACACAAGCUUGACAAGCAGAAAGCAUGUGGCCUCUAUUUUGCAUUUCAUCUUGCUCAUAAUAGAAGGUCUUCUUUAACGGGAAAAAGAAAAUAUAUGGCAAUAAAUCUUUAAAAGUA
rnacentral:lncRNA from 1 species